CGCUCCAUAAACCACCCCUUUCUUGUUGAUUGCAAGCUCCACUGGAAAGACACAGCAGUGCUGCUGGAGUUCUUAAACACCUCCGAUGAAGAACCAGAGAAAGGCCAACAGAAGAUGUGGAAUACCGUGUUCUCCAGCAAAACCAGUGACAAACCUCCCGUCCCUGACCAGCACAUCGUGUCAGAGUGAGGGAAGAGUUUAAAGAGCUGCAGCUGAUUCAGACCAGCAGAG